GGCUUGUGUACGCUACCGGCCGGAUUGACGGGCAGUGAUCAAUCCAGCAGGGGUUGAUCAAUCGACCGCAGAUCACUUUAGCGUCAACUCUGGUACUCCACCUCAAUGAGAAGCGCAAGAGGAAUCGACGGGAGAGCGUCUCCUGUUGACACACCACGAUUUUGGAGCAUUCUCUCGUCCAUCUACAUCUUCCUCUGCCUUUUCCUCCUCCUCUGCGGCUGAAACUGCUGGCUGAGAGGUCUUCAGUAUAGGACGCCCAAAGGCAGGUUUCACAGAAACAGGAGGUGCUGCUGCCUUGGAUAAUACGGCUGAAGUCUCAUUGCUGACAGUGCUAGAGCUAUUUGGUUUGGAGUCAUAGUUCUUGGGAAAGUCAUAUACAUCCUCUUUGUUUUGUAGUUUACCCUAUAGGUAUUAAGAACACACUGAAGUUUACACAUAGCAGCAACUUCAGCAUCUUUAGAUAAAUAUUUUCAUUUGAAAUUGGUUAUAUUGCUUGUGCAUUUUUGUAUUGCCCAUCUUUGUUCAUAAGGGAUCACAGCACUGAGUAUUUAAAUAUAUAGGAGCUUGGUCACUGACUUGAAUAGGGACAAAGUCUUACAUUGUAUGCAGUGUUAUAAUGAGCAGUAAAAUCUGACCAGUCUAUUUAAUUCUUAAAAGAUUUCUGGAAAGAAAAAGAGAAAGAACAGGAAGAACCAGAGCAAGAGGUUUUUCUGGAUUAUAUGGAGAAUAUUCUUCUGAGCUGAAACUAUUACACAGGACACACGCCUAUUCUCCCUGCAAUCAUCAUUUCACUUACGUGUACUGCUACCCAGCCCAAACUCUAUUGCCAAGGCAUAUUUGAAAGUAUGGUUGUUUAACUGUCUAGUAGGUGUAUUUUGCACAACGCAGACCAAUGUUGGUGUCCACCUCCAUGAAGAAAGUCAGAGGGUUGAACACAGGAUUUCAUUAAUAGCUGCAACACCUUUCUUGAAGUGACCCUGGAGCACAGUUCGGCACUACUACUUAAAAGGUAAAAAUAAAAAAGCCAAAAGGAUUUCCUGCCAUUCCACUGCCAUUCUGAACCAGCUCCCAGCAGAGAGCUUAUUAAAAUCAAGAAGGAGUGUGUCUGAACUUCUCCUCAGCUGAGACAUUCAGGAAGAUCUUUGUUUUGGGCUUGGUAAGGGAGCAAGAGUGCCGGAAUUCCCCUGGGCAAGAGAUCAGGAGAGAAAUGGGUAGUUUUCCAGCUAGUCACCAAACCCUCUAAUGAAACACAUGGUACCACUUCUAAAUCUCAAGAAUUCUCUUCCCAACCAGCUGCCAAGCUCUUUUGACAGCUCACAAUCCUCUUCUUUGUCAAUUCCCCUUCCUUCCUCUUCCCAACUUGCAUUUUAGCUUCCAACAGCAGGUUACCCUAAUAGAAGAAACAUAGCCCACGAUGUACAGCACCAGGUGGGUUCUUUAGAAAGAUGAACUCUAUCUUCAAAUUGAUUUCCACAAAUUACCUUAGGUGGCUCGGGCUUGAACGCUGGAGGUGGGCUGGGAUCUCUAAGUAUCUCUCUGCUACCAGCCCUUCUCAUUUGAGCUUUUGGUUCUGGGCUGGGUUUUCUUAUACUCUACGAAAAUAUAAGAAGUUAAUCACAAGAAUAUUCAAGUAAUUCUUGACUUGUUUUAAUCCUAGCCUUGUGGGCCAAUUACCAGUAGUCACAUGACUGGCAAUGACAUGACUACUAUCUCUGUAAAAGUGAACACCUGCACUCCAGGUGACACUAUCAAUGAAACUAGAGAGUCAGGGAAGCAGCUUAACUUUUAUGCUAGAAUUAAUAUGACUUUAUAAUUUUGUACCGGAGCUAGCAUAAUGCUGCAGCUGUAAUCAUACUUUUCUCAGGCACCAAUUACAAGGGACAUUUUCUGUUACCAUUUUACGAUGCACAUGACUUUCAGGAAGUCACUGUCUUGCCAACAGUCCCAAUAUCUUACCUCCUCAUGCUGCACAGGCUCAGAAGAUCGGCUAAUAGAGGAAACACUUGGUUCAUCUGAUGGCUCAUCAAGCUCAUUGUCCGUGUAUGCACCUCCUUCUCCAUCUGUGUCUUCCAAGUCACUGAUCAAGCGGCUGUCACAGCUCAGGUAGUCAGCACCCAUAGCUGUUAGGUAUGACAUGCGAUCUUCCAUGUCGUCAUCCAUUCCUUCCAUCUAUAAAAGUGGAAGGAUUAGAUUUGACUUCAUCCCCCAUUUUAGUUUGCAGUAACAUUUAUGGUACGCAACACCUAAGAAACAGAAGCACAUGAAACUGCAAGAAUUCUGGGUCUCCCAGGAACAUGAAAAUAGCUCCAAUAAAAAAUUAAUAUGUAUGCCCUAGCAGCAGCUAUAUGCCUUGGUUUUAAUAACAGGAGCAACAUGAUAAAGUUAUAAAAAAAAAUAAACUUUUAUCCUGUACUAUUUUUUCUCUCUUAGUUACCCACUGCAAAGAUUUCAGAUUAGUAUAACUUUUCAAUAUAUACAUGUGUUCAGUAUUUAGGGUGAUGAGUUUGCCAUCUGACCACUUUGAAGGGGGAUUAUUCCCAGAACAGAAAAACAAUUUAGCAUGUACAGUAUGAACUGUUUGACCACAUACCUUUCCUUCCGAUACCCAUACUGCUUCAACUUGCUGUUGCUGAAUUAUAUCUUUGAGGCUGCCGUACCAGCUAUCAUUGGCUGAAUUCAAAUUGAUGGUAGCUGUA